GAAAAAUCUCCUAAAUCUUGAAGCUUGAAGGCAUUAUUGGAAGAAAAACGUUUCACCUACAACUUGUAUCUACAUCUAAAGUUUGAUAUGAAACCAUCCAAGGAUGAAAAUCAGGUGGCAUCUAGGGUGAAAGCUACUACUAAAUAUGCAUGUGUGCCACCGGGUGCUAUAGGAAAGGGACGAGGAAGAGGGCUUAAAUCUAUGUUGUCUUUAGGGGUGUCAAGAACUGAUAUUCCAUUUUCGCCAUCUACUGAUCAAGUUAUGCAGUACAAUCAAUUUACUGAAACAAGUUUCUCUCAAGGAUUGCGAACAAUGAAUAAAAAGUUUUUGGCUUUUGAGAAAGAGCAUAUGCAAACUGAUAUUG